rnacentral:lncRNA from 1 species
GUAUGCAAAUAAAAAAAACAGCGAUUACCAAAUUUUAAAGGAAGUAUAGGUCUGUUGAAUUAAUGAAAUUAGAUCUAUUACACUGAAAAAAACUUCAAACAUAACAGACCUAUUGACCUUACUAAAGUGCUGAUUGUUUGGUUCCGUUCAAUGUUUGCAGAUUUCAGUUGCUAGUAUAAACAAUUAUUGAUUCCAGUUUUUGUGGAUUCACAGUUAUACUUUGCCAACCAAACCAAAUCAAUUUCUAGCAUUGGCUAUCUACUAACUUUAGUGCCUACAAGUAUAAAAUAGUCCAAUACCAAUCAAAAUAGUCCUAAGUACAUUCCAAUACCAAUCGAGCAAUUCACAUUAAUUACGAUGUAAACCUAAGCAACUAAAGCAACGAAUGCAAUGAAGCCAAAUCCUAAAACUCUUGAUGGAAGUGAAAACACAGUAGAAUUCAUCAAGCCUCAGAAUUCCAUUGCAUUUCAUUUCAUUACAGAGAUUACAACCUCGAAUGUGUACCUGGAAAUAGGGGAUAACAAAGGAGAGGAGAAAUGUCAACAAUAGAGUAGCAAUGAGCAGCAACAACUUAAAACUCAAACACGACCACAACCCAAAACAAGUUGAGGAAUCAACGGCAACAGCAAAUAUUCAAACCAAAAGACUCAAUCGAACUUGAAUUUACCCAGAAUAGAAGCAAUGACACUUCAGAACAAAUUCCACACACAACCAAAACCAAAAAUGCUUAGCGAACGAAAACAAACCCCAAGUUAAACCCAACAGAUGCACCACCUACCUGAAAAGGCAUCAGAAUGCUUCAAUAAAUCCAAACUCAACUGAAAAUACAAAAAUGUGAUGAGGAUAGAUGGAGAUAAGGAAUAAAUUGGCAGUUUCUCAAUGAUACAGUAGAGUCUUUUUGAUUUUUAUGAGUUUUUAUUUGUUUUUUUGGUUUUUGGAAGAUGGAAUUCAAAUUUAGAUCUAAAAAAACUAAGAGAGAGAGCUUCCAGGGGAAUUCGUGAGCUGAAAGGAAUCCCUCACACAAGGCAUUGGGCUGGAUUUUAUAGGCAAAGUGGAGGGGGUCUCAAAUUUAUAUUUGCAAAGCAGUCCCCAACUUUAUUUCUGUUUCCCACCUUUAAAUUUUUAAAAUUGACACCAAGGUCCUAUUGUAGAAUGUUCUAGCGCAUUCUGUAGCAUUUCAUCCUACGUCAAAAGCCCAAAACACCCCUGAGUUCAAACUAACUAAGGACUAUAGUUGACAAAUCCUUUGAACUAUAGUGAUUAACUGGAAUGCAUCCUAAUUAACAAUCAUCAUCAAGUUGAAGUCAACCACACUUAAACAAAACUGAUAAAGAAAAAUCAACAAACCAAAGGCUAAAUUAAAACCUAAUACCAAAUUAGCACAGUUUCACUGAACCAACAUGAAAUAAAUUUCAAUCUACCUAAUAAUCAAACAAAAAUCAAAAUAGAACAAGAAAGAAUUAACUAAUAGAUUCUGCCGAAAAAUCAAAGCAACACAAAUCAAAACUAAGAAUGGAAAUUAACCGGAUAUUAACGAACAUGAACAUGGAAUCAAAGAGAAAAGAUAAAACAAAAGAAAAAGGCAAGAUUCAGAACUCACUAAAAUGGCUUUGACGACUUUUGAAUUCGAACAGACUUGUGUAAUUUUGACUUUGCCAAUGGUGAAUUUCCUUUAUUAGGGGAAUGAGAGAGCCAUGCAGUACUUUACCUGGUCGAUUUUUAAAAAUUUGGGGUUUCCGGCCAAUCCUCAACUUGAAAUUCGAGACGCCUGGAGUUGAUUUGAAGAAAACUAAUUGAAGAUAUGGGCAGAGGAUGUCAAAGAGAUCUUAUAGUGUGAAUUUGGGUUCAUUUGGGACAAGUCACGUCAUGGCCGAAAAACUUCAAACUGUUAUUCGAAGAGUUCUAGCAGGGUUUGAAGGAAACUCGUCUUAGAUUUGGAAUGAGGGGAAGUAGAGGAACACGAGGUUUAUUUUUUGGGGUGAUUGGGAGUGGUAAUGUUCGCCGGUAGCAGCGGCUACGGUGAGAUACAAAGAGUGGUACGAGGAGAGUAACUUAUGUAUCUUAGGGUUAAUGAGAACUUAAGACACAAUUAUACAAACUACAAAUUAAUUGAGGGUCAUUGGAUCAGAGGAAAUAAAUUGUCCAUAUUGGAUGACGCCUAAACAGCGUCGUUUC